GUGAAAAGCAUGCUGAAGUGGAUGGCUGUUGAAAAACUGCAACUGGAAGGGAUAAGAAUUGGGAGUUUAAACUGUCGCUGCCAAAGCACGCUUCCAGUCCCCAGGAUUACUGGGUAGAAAACCACACGUGCUUACUAUCUUGGCUUGAGAUCACGUCAAAGAGAGUUCAGGGAUGGAAAAGUAUCUAAAACCAGGCAAAAGUCAAUGAAGCUUUUCUCCCCCUUGAAAAGCCGUUAUGGAAAGGUUUUACACACAUUAUAAUGCAUCACAUCUGGAGUGACAUGGGGAGAGAAAACUAUGUGAGCUCAUCAGCUACUGACUGUCUUGACCUCAAACAUUUUCCGUUGCUACCUACUUUCCUCGAGAGUGGAUCUAUUCAGAAAAACCAAGGCUGGCUGGAUGGAGGAUUAGAGGCUGCUUCCUCUUUCAUGCCACUAAGGUCUGAACCAGCUGAGUGUCCCUUUGAUAUCACUGUAAUCCAUCUUAUUUAAGGUGGAGCAUUUGAUUUCUUCACCACCAGGCCUCCCUUCCACUUCAGGAAAUAAUCCUCUUUCAAUCUCCUGCUCAUUGAAAUAAAAAUACCAUCUCAUAUU